CACACCCAGAAGCAUCUUUGUCAAACUCCCAAGAAAGAAAAAUGUAAAGAGAAGAUCUUCAAAGCACCCAGGGAAAAAAGGAACACAUACCAGACCAAGGAACACCCAUGACGACGACAGGUCACCUCUACCCAGGUCGAAGGCAGAGAAGUCGUUCUAAAAACACUAAAAGUACCACUGAGAAUUCUACAUCCAGUUAAUCGAGUCCUUAAAUGGAGAGGCAAGAUUUUACAUCAACUCUCUUGAGGAGCCGCCAUCUAUAAAAUUUCACCAACAGAGGGCGCUCCGAGCCCAUCAAACGCCGGGGACCGAAGAUAUUUUGAGAUGCACAUCAGAUCUCAGGGCUCAUCAUUCUUCAGGACGAAUCGUGCAGCUCCGCAAUGGCUCUCCCUUCGACACCCCACCUUUCCCACUUCGGGCUUCACGGGCUCGUCCAUUUCACCUGGCCACAUGCUGCUUUGAGGCUGAUAAGCCGCGCGUAGCUAAUGGCGACGAUAUUUUCCGCGGCACCUAGGCAGAAUACAGAUGCGGCUGCAGUUGGGCUGCCUGGAGGCUACCAGUCCCCCUAAGGUCUUCGGCAGAUAUGAUCGCGUUGAAAUUGGAAGUAGGAACGUAAUGGAAACUUCCACAGUGUUCUCAACAUCUUCAUUUUGACCUUCUCGCCUCGCUUUAGAGGCUAUGAAAUAUCCGGGGUGCACCAGCUGCAGAGGGCGCUGGGCGGGGAUGGCGAUGCCCGGGAGGCGCCGAAGGUUCACACAGGAAGACAGGAGGGGGGGGCGUUGCCCCGGGUUCUAGCACCCCAAUUGUUGUAUUCUGCCCCCUCCUUUCUCUUGCAUAUGUUGAAGGAAGACAGCGACUAGGGAAGCCCGAAAUGUCCUCCUGCCCCCGCCUAGCCCCAGGCCAGGUCUUUCCGGGGUACCCAGAUGCCAUUACACCACACGUGAUCUCCGCGCCCGGCUGGUCCCGCAGGAGGCGUCUCGUGGGGUGUUAAUUAAAGGU
rnacentral:lncRNA from 1 species